UACGUAGGGUGCACACGUUGUCCGGAAUUACUGGGCGUAGAGAGUUCGUAGGCGGUUUGUCGCGUCGUUUGUGAAAACCGGCAGCUCAACUGCUAGCUUGCAGGCGAUACGGGCAGACUUGAGUACUGCAGGGGAGACUGGAAUUCCUGGUGUAGCGGUGAAAUGCGCAGAUAUCAGGAGGAACACCGGUGGCGAAGGCUGGUCUCUGGGCAGUAACUGACUCUGCGGAACGAAAGCGUGGGUAGCGAACAG
rnacentral:rRNA from 1 species